rnacentral:lncRNA from 1 species
CCUGCCCGGAGCACGGAGUGCCACAUCCAUCCUAAGACUCAGAACAGCCAGGAGCUGGAAGAGGACAGGAGAGGAUUUCUGCUCUCAGGUGAUAUUUAUGAGGCCAGGACCCAAUCCUGAUGGAAUUCUCCUCACCAGGAACAGAGCAGUGUGUCCUCUCUGAAAUUCCUUCCCAAUAACAGCAGCUGGUUUCUGAAGCUGGAGGAGAUGCCAAAGCAGGAACCUCCACAGCUCCCUGGAGAAUCCAGCACCUCCAGCCCAGCAGAGCAGGUACAGACUGAAGAGCUGACAGGGCAGAAUUCGUCCUCAGAAAGGAGCUACAGAAUCAUCAGGCUACAAGAAAAGC